ensembl:snRNA U6 U6 spliceosomal RNA
GUGCUUGGUUUGACAGAACAUAUUAAAGUUGGAGCAAUACAUAGAUUAGCAUAGCUCCUACACAAGAUGAAGUGUAAAUUUGUAAGGUGUUCCAUAUUUUC